GAGAUGUCGUAAGGGAAAAUAAUGAUAUUACCUUACUAAUAGUGUCGUCAAAAACUGGUGCCAGAAGACUCGGUAAGACCAGAGCGCAAACGUUAAUCAUCAUAAACAGGCGUAAAGGGUUUGUAGGCUGCUUUGAAAGUCUUAACUUUAAUAUAGCCAAAGUAAAGUUAGAUCAAUUAAAGCUAGAAUCAAAUAGAGGUUAUAUUGAAUAAUACUUAGAGGAGGGAUUAAAUCCGUAGAUCCUAAGGAGAAUACUAAGGCCAAAGCAUUUUACCACUAAUGAAUGACGCUGAGAAACGAAGGUGAGGAUAGGAAAUAGGAUUAGAUACCCCGGUACCCCUCUCUGUCAACGAUCGAAUGGUAGUCCUAGUUACAAAACUAGGGGCGAUGUUAACACGUUAACCAUUCCGCCUU
rnacentral:rRNA from 2 species